UUGAUAGUACCUUACUACUUGGAUACCUGUGGUAAUUCUAGAGCUAAUACAUGCUAAAAACCCCGACUUCGGGAGGGGUGUAUUUAUUAGAUAAAAAACCAACGCCCCUCGGGGCUCCUUGGUGAUUCAUAAUAACUUCUCAGAUCGCAUGGCCUUGCGCCGGCGACGGUUCAUUCAAAUUUCUGCCCUAUCAACUUUCGAUGGUAAGGUAGUGGCUUACCAUGGUUUCAACGGGUAACGGGGAAUUAGGGUUCGAUUCCGGAGAGGGAGCCGGAGGAACGGCUACCACAUCCAAGGAAGGCAGCAGGCGCGCAAAUUACCCAAUUCCGAUACGGAGAGGUAGUGACAAUAAAUACUGAUACAGGGCUCUUUUGGGUCUUGUAAUUGGAAUGAGUACAAUUUAAACCUCUUAACGAGGAACAAUUGGAGGGCAAGUCUGGUGCCAGCAGCCGCGGUAAUUCCAGCUCCAAUAGCGUAUAUUAAAGUUGUUGCAGUUAAAAAGCUCGUAGUUGAACCUUUGGCCUGGCUGGCAGGUCCGCCUCACCGCGUGCACUUGUCCGGCCGGGCCUUUUCUUCUGGGCAACCGCAUGCCCUUCACUGGGUGUGUUGGGGACCAGGACUUUUACUUUGAAAAAAUUAGAGUGUUCAAAGCAGGCCUUUGCUCGAAUACGUUAGCAUGGAAUAAUAGAAUAGGACGUGCGGUCCUAUUUUGUUGGUUUCUAGGACCGCCGUAAUGAUUAAUAGGGACAGUCGGGGGCAUCAGUAUUCAAUUGUCAGAGGUGAAAUUCUUGGAUUUAUUGAAGACUAACUACUGCGAAAGCAUUUGCCAAGGAUGUUUUCAUUAAUCAGUGAACGAAAGUUAGGGGAUCGAAGACGAUCAGAUACCGUCGUAGUCUUAACCAUAAACUAUGCCGACUAGGGAUCGG
rnacentral:rRNA from 1 species